rnacentral:rRNA from 1 species
UACGGGGGGGGCAAGCGUUGUUCGGAAUUACUGGGCGUAAAGGGCUCGUAGGCGGCCAACUAAGUCAUACGUGAAAUCCCUCGGCUUAACCGGGGAACUGCGUCUGAUACUGGAUGGCUUGAGUUCGGGAGAGGGAUGCGGAAUUCCAGGUGGAGCGGUGAAAUGCGUUGAUAUCCAGCGGAACUCCGGUGGCGAAGGCGAGGUGCUGGACCCUUUCUGACGCUGAUGCGCGAAAGCCAGGGGAGCAAACGGG